rnacentral:rRNA from 1 species
UUCCGGUUGAUCCUGCCGGACCUGAUUGCUACCGGAUUGGUACUAAGCCAUGCGAGUAAGUGUAGCAAUACACUGCAGACGGCUCAGUAACACGUGGUCAAGCUAACCUAUGGACGUGGAUAACCUCGGGAAACUGAGAAUAAACCGCGAUAGAUCAUGAUGCCUGGAAUGGCUCAUGGUCGAAAUAGUUUACUGCCGUAGGAUGCGACUGCGGCCUAUCAGUUUGUUGGUGAGGUAAUGGCCCACCAAGACUAUUACAGGUACGGGCUCUGAGAGGAGAAGCCCGGAGAUGGGUACUGAGACACGGACCCAGGCCCUAUGGGGCGCAGCAGGCGAGAAACCUUAGCAAUGUGCGAAAGCACGACUGGGUUAGUCCGAGUGAUUCCUGCUAAAGGAAUCUUUUGCCGGUCCUAAAAGCACCGGUGAAUAAGGGGUGGGCAAGUCUGGUGUCAGCCGCCGCGGUAAUACCAGCACCUCGAGUGAUCAGGACGUUUAUUGGGCCUAAAGCAUCCGUAGCUGGCUUUGCAAGUCUCCGGUUAAAUCAACCUGCUCAACAGAUUGGCCGCUGGAGAUACUACAAGGCUAGGGAGUGGGAGAGGCAGACGGUAUUCGGGGGGUAGGGGUAAAAUCCUCUGAUCCUCUGAGGACCACCAGUGGCGAAGGCGGUCUGCCAGAACACGUUCGACAGUGAGGGAUGAAAGCUGGGGGAGCAAACCGGAUUAGAUACCCGGGUAGUCCCAGCUGUAAACGAUGCAAACUCGGUGAAGCAUUGGCUUAAUGCUAAUGCUGUGCCGCAGGGAAGCCGUUAAGUUUGCCGCCUGGGAAGUACGGUCGCAAGAUUGAAACUUAAAGGAAUUGGCGGGGGAGCACCACAAGGGGUGAAGCCUGCGGUUCAAUUGGAUCAACGCCGGA